AUUGAACGCUGGCGGCAGGCCUAACACAUGCAAGUCGAGCGAGCGGCGGAUGGGUGAGAAAUGUCUGGGGACUGCCCGAUAGAGGGGGAUAACUACGGGAAACGGUAGCUAAUACCGCAAACUAUCGGAUUACCCAGAUGGGAUUAGCUAGUAGGUGGGGUAAGGGCGCACCUAGGCGACGAUCCCUAGCUGGUCUGAGAGGAUGAUCAGCCACACUGGGACUGAGACACGGCCCAGACUCCUACGGAGGCAACAGUGGGGAAUAUUGCACAAUGGGCGAAAGCCUGAUGCAGCCAUGCCGCGUGUAUGAAGAAGGCCCUAGGGUUGUAAAGUACUUUCAGUCGGGAGGCGUUACCGACAGAAGAAGCACCGGCUAACUCCGUGCCAGCAGCCGCGGUAAUAC
rnacentral:rRNA from 1 species